rnacentral:rRNA from 1 species
AUCUUCGGCAAUGGGCGCAAGCCUGACCGAGCGACGCCGCGUGCGGGAUGAAGGCCUUCGGGUUGUAAACCGCUGUCGUAGAGGAGGAAAUGCAGGGGGGUUCUCCCCUCUGUUUGACCUAUUCUAGGAGGAAGUACGGGCUAAGUUCGUGCCAGCAGCCGCGGUAAGACGAACCGUACGAACGUUAUUCGGAAUUACUGGGCUUAAAGGGUGCGUAGGCGGCGCGGAAAGUUGGGUGUGAAAGCCCUCAGCUCAACUGAGGAAUUGCACUCAAAACUACCGUGCUCGAGGGAGACAGAGGUGAGCGGAACUCAAGGUGGAGCGGUGAAAUGCGUUGAUAUCUUGAGGAACACCGGUGGCGAAAGCGGCUCACUGGGUCUUUUCUGACGCUGAGGCACGAAAGCCAAGGUAGCAAACGGGAUUAGAUACCCCGGUAGUCUUGGCUGUAAACGAUGAGCACUUGAUUGAAGGGUCCUCCAUAGCCUUUCAGUCGUAUCGAAAGUGUUAAGUGCUCCGCCUGGGGAGUAUGGUCGCAAGGCUGAAACUCAAAGGAA